UACGAAGGGGGCUAGCGUUGCUCGGAAUUACUGGGCGUAAAGGGCGCGUAGGCGGCUCGGCACGUCCGUUGUGAAAUCGCUCGGCUCAACUGGGCGAGGUCAGCGGAUACGGUCGAGCUUGAGCCAGCUAGGGGGCAAUGGAAUUCCCGGUGUAGUGGUGGAAUGCGUAGAUAUCGGGAGGAGCACCAGUGGCGAAGGCGGUUGCCUGGGGCUGUGCUGACGCUGAUGCGCGAAAGCGUGGGGAGCGAUCCGG
rnacentral:rRNA from 1 species